UUUGGUUACUAGGCAAUGUGGUGUUUAGGUCAUUCCGCGUUUGGCGCUGCUCCAUUCCAAGUCCAGCAAUGAAUACGGUAAUGCUGACAUAGCCCAAAGCGGGUGAAAGGCCCGUGGGAGUGGAGAUGCAGAAAUGACAGUGCCUUCCUGGAUAGACCUUGGAGUCGGGUUGUUUGUGAAUGCAGCCCAAAGUGGGUGGUAAACUCCAUCCAAGGCUAAAUACUAACACGAGUCCGAUAGCGAACAAGUACCGUGAGGGAAAGUUGAAAAGUACUUUGAAGAGAGAGUAAACAGUGCGUGAAACCGCUCAGAGGUAAACGGGUGGAGUUGAACUGUGAACUCUGUGGAUUUAGCUGGUGAGCAUGGUUUGAGCUUGGUCAAAUUGGCUGAAGUGCGGAGUCUGCGGAUUAGCAGGUCCUCGCCUUUUGGUGGGGAUGCGUGAGGCACUCAUCAGGUGUUGCGCGCUCCGUACUGAAUCGGGCCAGCUUGCCAGUGCACUUUCACAGAGUGGUCACCACGACCGGCAUUGCUGUCGGACUGUUGUGGUUAAACCGGUCUUGCAUUGUCCUUGUGACUUUGUUUGGUCGGGAUGGCAGGUAGCUCGUUGGCUUGCUUGUGGUUCGCUGCAGGCAUUUGGUCUUCGGGUGUAAUCAGCUGACCACAUCAGUACUGUGCAGUAUGUCGGAGACGGCGGCUUGUGGUGUGCGCGUUCGUGCCAGUUGGCUGGCGUGUCCGGGUUUGGUUAUUAUGUUGCCUGUGUGUGCAGGCCUGAUGAUAGCCCGGAUUCGUUCGCGUCGACGGUUGCGUUCGGUCCACUGAUA
rnacentral:rRNA from 1 species